rnacentral:misc_RNA from 1 species
UUGUUGUGGAGCUGACUUACAGUACGAUGCUCUCAACUUUAACCUUUAUUUUUUUUCCUUUUUUAAAGCAUAGAUGUUUAUUCAUAUUGUUUUUUUGAAUGGCUGAGGGUUUUCUGCGCGUAAUUUGUUAAAUGAUGACGUAUUGUUAAUCUAACCAUUUGCGGUCUUUGAAUAACCUAUUCAUCUGACAUUAUCUUAAGGUGGGCUACUUUAAUUUUGUGUCCAAGCUGUUUAGUUGGUAAAUGUUCAUUUUUUUUCAGAUUAUUUUCAAGGAGCAGUGCUCAAAAUGAGCCAAUACUUUUUUGCUUUCAGUGUUCUGCAUUGUCUUGUUCGUUGAGACCAAUAGGGAAAGUUGCUGUACCCUUAAUUAGAAACAAAAAGCAGAUCUUUUCAAGGUAGUGCAAUACGCAUACUAAGAAAGGGAUAAGACACAGAGGAUCUUAUUAAGUUAUUGGAAAGGGUAGGUGUCUCUCUGGCCAAGAGUGAGGAGUUGUUGAUACUGACAUGGUAGACACGAAUUUCACUUUUAAUGCAUACCUAUGAGCACAGAUUUUUGCCUUGGGACAUCAGUUUAAGUAGUAAAGAGGUUGGCUAUGAGUAGGUUAAUCAUCUCAGCCAUUUAAAAGAAAAAGCUUGAAUAAAAUCUUUCUUUCUUUACUAACAUUUGAGAAUUUACUUGGUCGCUGAUUGCAGAUUAUGGAGUGACUUCAUAUGAUA